rnacentral:rRNA from 1 species
UAGGGAAUCUUCGGCAAUGGACGAAAGUCUGACCGAGCAACGCCGCGUGAGUGAAGAAGGUUUUCGGAUCGUAAAACUCUGUUGUUAGAGAAGAACAAGGACGUUAGUAACUGAACGUCCCCUGACGGUAUCUAACCAGAAAGCCACGGCUAACUACGUUCCAGCAGCCGCGGUAAUACGUCGGUGGCAAGCGUUGUCCGGAUUUAUUGGGCGUAAAGCGAGCGCAGGCGGUUUCUUAAGUCUGAUGUGAAAGCCCCCGGCUCAACCGGGGAGGGUCAUUGGAAACUGGGAGAGUGGAGUGCAGAAGAGGGGAGUGGAAUUCGAUGGGUAGCGGUGAAAUGCGUGGAUAUAUGGAGGAACACCAGUGGCGAAGGCGGCUCUCGGGUCUGUAGCUGACGCUGAGGCUCGAAAGCGGGGGGAGCAAACAGG